CCUACGGGAGGCAGCAGUGAGGAAUAUUGGUCAAUGGGCGGGAGCCUGAACCAGCCAAGCCGCGUGAGGGAAGAAGGUACAGCGUAUCGUAAACCUCUUUUGUCAGGGAACAAAGGCGGGUACUAGUCCCCGGCUGAGGGUACCUGAAGAAAAAGCAUCGGCAAACUCCGUGCCAGCAGCCGCGGUAAUCCGGAGGCUGCGAGCGUUAUCCGGGUUUAUUGGGUUAAAGGGGUGCGCAGUGGGCCUGUUAAGUCCGUGGUAAAAGCCCGGGGCUAAACCCCGGAGAGCCGUUGAAACUGGCGGGCUGGAGUGGGGGAGAAGUAAGUGGAAUGCGUGGUGUAGCGGUGAAAUGCUUAGAUAUCGCGCAGAACCCCGAUUGCGAAGGCAGCGUACCGGAUCCAAACUGACGCUGAGGCACGAAAGCGUGGGUAUCGAACAGGAUUAGAUACCCCAGUAGUC
rnacentral:rRNA from 1 species